AUAGCAGAAUGACCACAGCAGCUGCAGAAAAGAAGUCCUAAAGUUAAGAAACUUGUGCAAGACAACAGUUAAAUUUGUUUCACUGCUCUAGUUUAGUAGAUGACAUCAAUAUAUCUCCAGAAAUAUACAAUGCAAUAAGACUAGCUAGCAUGCCAGCACAUUCUAGACGGCUUCAACUAUAGUCAGUUUUAUGGGUAACUACAUCGAAGUAGUGGGUUCCAUCCGUUAGUUUAGUUUGGAGACUUUAUUCACUAAGAACUCACAAAUAGUGGUAAACAGAACACAAAUGGAUGGCUCCAAGUCUUUCCAAUAGAUGGAGUCAAAGUUCUGAUAAAAGUUCAUCCAGGGUAGCAUUUUGGUUGCUGGUAGGGCUGUGCACAGUUUCG
rnacentral:misc_RNA from 1 species